UACGUAGGUGGCAAGCGUUGUCCGGAUUUAUUGGGUUUAAAGGGUGCGUAGGUGGUUGGUUAAGUCCGUGGUGAAAGACGAUCGCUCAACGAUUGCAGUGCCAUGGAUACUGACCGACUUGAAUGACGUUGAGGUGGGCGGAAUUGACCGUGUAGCGGUGAAAUGCUUAGAUAUGGUCAAGAACCCCGAUUGCGUAGGCAGCUCACUGGACGUUUAUUGACACUGAGGCACGAGAGUGUGGGGAUCAAACAGG
rnacentral:rRNA from 1 species